GACGAACGCUGGCGGCGUGCCUAAUACAUGCAAGUAGAACGCUGAAGGAGGAGCUUGCUUCUCUGGAUGAGUUGCGAACGGGUGAGUAACGCGUAGGUAACCUGCCUGGUAGCGGGGGAUAACUAUUGGAAACGAUAGCUAAUACCGCAUAAUAGUAGAUGUUGCAUGACAUUUGCUUAAAAGGUGCAAUUGCAUCACUACCAGAUGGACCUGCGUUGUAUUAGCUAGUUGGUGGGGUAACGGCUCACCAAGGCGACGAUACAUAGCCGACCUGGGAGGGAGAGCGGCCACCCUGGGACUGGGACACGGACAAGAACCCUACGGGAAGCAGCAGUAGGGGAGAGUCGGAAAUGGACGGAAGUCUGACCGAGCAACGCCGCGGGAGGGUAGAAGGUUUUCGGAUCGUAAAGUUCUGUUGUAAGAGAAGAACGGGUGUGAGAGUGGAAAGUUCACAAUGUGACGGUAUCUUACCAGAAAGGGACGGCUAACUACGUG
rnacentral:rRNA from 1 species